GUCGCUUCUACCGAUGAAUGAUCCGGUGAACACUUUGGAUUUGUGGUCUUGAUGGGAAACUUGACAGACUAUCGAAGAAGUUGUGUAAACCUUAUCAUUUAGAGGAAGAAG
rnacentral:rRNA from 1 species